GAGUGUGUGUGUAUGUGUGUCUGUGAGAGUGUGUGUGUGUGUGUGUGAGUGAGUGUGUGAGAGUGUGUGUGUGUGUGUGAGUGAGUGUGUGUGUGUCUGUGAGAGUGUGUGUGUGUGUGUGUGUGAGUGAGUGUGUGAGAGUUUGUGUGUGUGUGUGGAGCGACAGUAAACAAACGAUUAAACUAUAUAAUUAUCCCUCAGUUCUGCACUAAUGAUGCGUUCAGCAGAAAUAAACUCACCCGCUUCACAACUCGCCGUUUAUUUACCAUCAUUACCACCUCAACCGCCAAAACCAGCAGGACCCGCCCACUUCUGCAGGCACUGACAGGAAUGUGUUUGUGUGUGUAAGGGUGUGUUUUGGGAAUGUCCACAAACACGUUGAUUCCAGAAAUGUGCAGCAUAGCAUCCGUUUGUGUUUGUGCAGCAGCGCUCCUCUCGAAACUGCUGCUCGUGCAGAAGCGUCUCCGUUCAGUCGAUUACAGUCGGCCAUCAAACCUUCAUGUGAGUCCCACAGUAUUGAACGCCCCUUAACCCGUCAAAUCAACCAAAUUCAGAAACUCUUUUUUUAUAUUCUUUAAGUAACAAAGAUAAAAAGAUGAUAAAAGCCCAAAUAUGGAGCUGCGGAUCAGUAUUUAUGGAAUAAUCCAUUAUUAUAUUUGGGUCAAAAUGAGAAUUUUCUCCUUUUAAAGUAAAACUGCAGGUCAAACAAAUCCCUGUGAUUUAAUUUCUGCACAGAGAUCGUCGAUCUAUUAUUACAACCCUCCUGUUGUGUGAGCCUAAAACACUUUUGUAGCGUGUUGAGUGCCUAUAACAUAUUUAAUAUCCUUUCAGAUUAUGAUUCAGAACAACAUUUAUUCGUUUUUAAGGCCCUAAACCGUCGUGUGACCCCUCGAACACGUGUGUGGACAUUGUGUUUUGGCUUUGUUACACGCAACACAUAAUUGAAAUAAAUAAAGUCUGACUGUGCUGUUCAUGAGACUCUACACGGUCAUUUAAGGGUUAAACUUCUGCCACACUGAGUCACAUGACACGACAUGACGAUGAUUUCUGUGACGCGCUGCUACGGGCGCAACAUCAACAUCGUUUGAUGUGCCGCUUUAAUAAAUACAUAGAUAUUUAAUAGAUUAUUAAAUAGGGAGCAAGGGAGCAUCCUAUAUCUCUCCUAUAACUGUUCUGAGACCAGUGCAGACAGACAGCACACUGGAGGUUAAGUCAUGCACUAAAUAGGGAGCAAGGGAGCAUCCUAUAUCUCUCCUAUAACUGUUCUGAGACCAGUGCAGACAGACAGCACACUGGAGGUUAAGUCAUGCACUAAAUAGGGAGCAAGGGAGCAUCCUAUAGCUCUCCUAUAACUGUUCUGAGACCAGUGCAGACAGACAGCACACUGGAGGUUAAGUCAUUCACUAAAUAGGGAGCAAGGGAGCAUCCUAUAGCUCUCCUAUAACUGUUCUGAGACCAGUGCAGACAGACAGCACACUGGAGGUUAAGUCAUUCACUAAAUAGGGAGCAAGGGAGCAUCCUAUAGCUCUCCUAUAACUGUUCUGAGACCAGCGCAGACAGACAUCACACUGGAGGUUAAGUCAUGGACUAAAUAGGGAGCAAGGGAGCAUCCUAUAGCUCUCCUAUAACUGUUCUGAGACCAGUGCAGACAGACAGCACACUGGAGGUUAAGUCAUGCACUAAAUAGGGAGCAAGGGAGCAUCCUAUAGCUCUCUAUAACUGUUCUGAGACCAGUGCAGACAGACAGCACACUGGAGGUUAAGUCAUGCACUAAAUAGGGAGCAAGGGAGCAUCCUAUAGCUCUCUAUGCAGUUAAGUGUGUUCACUCCUAAAAUCUGAUCAAAAGUUCAGUUUCAGGCUGCAGAUGAUGUUUGGACACUCAACAUGUUUGACACACAUGGGACAAUGAUAAUCACUACAUAGUGAACUAAAUAGUGAA